rnacentral:piRNA from 1 species
UGGUCCAGCGGUAGCAAAAGGUGUCA